rnacentral:rRNA from 1 species
UGCGUAGGCGGAUUAAUAAGUCAGUGGUGAAAUCUCUCGGCUCAACCGGGAAACUGCCAUUGAUACUGUUAAUCUUGAGUUCGGUUGAGGUAGGCGGAAUGUGUUAUGUAGCGGUGAAAUGCUUAGAUAUUACACAGAACACCAAUUGCGUAGGCAGCUUACUAGACCGACACUGACGCUGAGGCACGAAAGCGUGGGUAGCGAACAGGAUUAGAUACCCUGGUAGUCC